GCCCGGCUAGCUCAGUCGGUAAUAAAGCAUGAGAAUCUUAAUCUCAGGGUCGUGGGUUCGAGUCCCACAUUGGACG